GGCCUAUUAGCUCAAUUGGUUAGAGUGUCAUGCUAAUAACACGAAGGUUGUAGGUUUGAGACCUGUAUAGGCCA